rnacentral:rRNA from 1 species
AUUGAACGCUGGCGGCAGGCUUAACACAUGCAAGUCGAGCGGAGCGAGGGUGCUUGCACCUUAGCUUAGCGGCGGACGGGUGAGUAAUGCUUAGGAAUCUGCCUAUUAGUGGGGGACAACAUUCCGAAAGGAAUGCUAAUACCGCAUACACCCUACGGGGGAAAGCAGGGGAUCUUCGGACCUUGCGCUAAUAGAUGAGCCUAAGUCGGAUUAGCUAGUUGGUGGGGUAAAGGCCUACCAAGGCGACGAUCUGUAGCGGGUCUGAGAGGAUGAUCCGCCACACUGGGACUGAGACACGGCCCAGACUCCUACGGGAGGUAGCAGUGGGGAAUAUUGGACAAUGGGCGGAAGCCUGAUCCAGCCAUGCCGCGUGUGUGAAGAAGGCCUUUUGGUUGUAAAGCACUUUAAGCGAGGAGGAGGCUCUUAAGGUUAAUACCCUUGAUGAGUGGACGUUACUCGCAGAAUAAGCACCGGCUACCUUCGUGCCAGCCGCCGCCGUAACAC